GCUUUCCUGUGGCUCAGUUUAUAGAGCUUUGCACUAACAAUGCAAAGGUCGUGGGUUCAAAUCCCAGGGAAAGCA
rnacentral:tRNA from 1 species